rnacentral:rRNA from 1 species
UACAGAGGUCCCAAGCGUUGUUCGGAUUCAUUGGGCGUAAAGGGUGCGUAGGCGGCGCGGUAAGUCGGGUGUGAAAUCUCGGGGCUUAACUCCGAAACUGCAUUCGAUACUGCCGUGCUUGAGGACUGGAGAGGAGACUGGAAUUUACGGUGUAGUGGUGAAAUGCGUAGAUAUCGUAAGGAAGACCAGUGGCGAAGGCGGGUCUCUGGACAGUUCCUGACGCUGAGGCACGAAGGCCAGGGGAGCAAACGGG